rnacentral:rRNA from 1 species
GAUGAACGCUGGCGGCGUGCUUUAACACAUGCAAGUCGAGCGGAGUAUUUAAACGGAAGUCUUCGGAUGGAAGGUUAGAUAUUUAGCGGCGGACGGGUGAGUAAACGCGUGGGCAACCUGCCCCAUACCGGGGGAUAACAGCCAGAAAUGGCUGCUAAUACCGCAUAAGCGCACAGCGCCCCAUGGCGCGGUGUGAAAAACUCCGGUGGUAUGGGGAUGGGCCCGCGUCUGAUUAGGUAGUUGGCGGGGUAACGGCCCACCAAGCCGACGAUCAGUAGCCGACCUGAGAGGGUGACCGGCCACAUUGGGACUGAGACACGGCCCAAACUCCUACGGGAGGCAGCAGUGGGGAAUAUUGCACAAUGGGGGAAACCCUGAUGCAGCGACGCCGCGUGAGCGAAGAAAGUAUUUCGGUAUGUAAAAGCUCUAUCAGCAGGGAAGAAAUGACGGUACCCUGACCUAGGAAGCCCCGGGCUAACUACGU